rnacentral:rRNA from 1 species
CCUACGGGGUGCAGCAGUGAGGAAUAUUGGUCAAUGGGCGCGAGCCUGAACCAGCCAAGUAGCGUGAAGGAUGACUGCCCUACGGGUUGUAAACUUCUUUUAUAAAGGAAUAAAGUGCGGCACGUGUGCCUUUUUGUAUGUACUUUAUGAAUCAGGCUCGGCUAACUCCGUGCCAGCAGCCGCGGUAAUCCGGAGGGUCCGGGCGUUAUCCGGAUUUAUUGGGUUUAAAGGGAGCGUAGAUGGGUUGUUAAGUCAGUUGUGAAAGUUUGCGGCUCAACCGUAAAAUUGCAAUUGAUACUGGCAGGCUGGAGUACAGUUGAGGUAGGCGGAAUUCGUGGUGUAGCGGUGAAAUGCUUAGAUAUCACGAAGAACUCCGAUUGCGAAGGCAGCUUACUAAACUGCAACUGACAUUGAUGCUCGAAAGUGUGGGUAUCAAACAGGAUUAGAUACCCGGGUAGUC